AAGCCAGCUAUGGCAGGAUGUUGGGCCCCUGAUAGCUCCUGAGACACUGGCCCUGUCUAGGCAUAGAUUCAUUAGACGUGGACCCAAACCAGUAGAAAAAGCCUUUAUUUAAGGACUGAGCAAGUCUUUGCAACCUAGGGGUGCAGGUGAACAGGAUAAAGGAAACAUUUUAGAGUAAGAUUUCAGGGGACUGAAGAAACACUGACAUUCAGGAAAAGCAGAAGAGAUUCUUACAAGUUCAGUGCCCACAUCAUAAGGAAAAAAUUCUCUGAAGACCAGGAUGGGAUUCAAGGGUGUUAUGUUGAAUAGAGGCAUGCAAAGGAAGUACUUAACGUGCAGGCCAGGACCAGAGACGGUGCACUAGGUAGAGUGCGGCAUCCAGCAAAAGUAUUUCAAGGUGGAUCCUGGUAACUGGAGGAUCUUUUACAAACUUAAAUAUUUUCUUAAACAAGGGUUUGAAGAUGCCUGUUUGAAGGAAAGAAACACGUGAGUAAUAAAUAGUGAAUGCUACAGAGAAACCAGAAAGUAAGAAAGGUGCAUAGGACUGUGGUCAGGGCAGCUAUAGAAGCU
rnacentral:lncRNA from 1 species